AUUGAUCCUUCCAUUUUUAUGGUUGAACCUCCAAUGAUGAAAAAAAAAAAAAAACUGAAAUAAAAAGUUUGUAGAAAACUUAAAGGUCACCUUUAUUACCUUGUUAUUUUUUUAAAGACCCUGAGGAGGC
rnacentral:ncRNA from 4 species